rnacentral:rRNA from 1 species
AUUGAACGCUGGCGGCAUGCGUAACACAUGCAAGUCGAACGGUGUUUGGUGCUUGCACCAGACAUAGUGGCGGACGGGUGAGUAAUGCGUAGGAAUCUGUCUUAGAGAGGGGGACAACCCGAGGAAACUUGGGCUAAAACCGCAUAUUCUCGAGAGAGGAAAGCAGGGGACCGGAAACGGCCUUGUGCUCUAAGGUGAGCCUACGUCGGAUUAGCUAGUUGGUAGGGUAAAAGCCUACCAAGGCGAUGAUCUGUAGCUGGUCUGAGAGGACGGACAGCCACACUGGGACUGAGACACGGCCCAGACUCCUACGGGAGGCAGCAGUGGGGAAUAUUGGACAAUGGGGGAACCCUGAUCCAGCGAUGCCGCGUGUGUGAAGAAGGCCUGCGGGUUGUAAAGCACUUUCAGUGGGAAAGAGAAGCGUCUUGUGAAUAAUGGGACGUGGAGACGUUACUCACAGAAGAAGCAACCGGCUAACUCUGUGCCAGCAGCCG